rnacentral:rRNA from 1 species
ACCACAACGGGUGGAGCUUGCGGUUUAAUUGGAUUCAACGCCGGAAAUCUUACCGGGACCGACAGCAAUAUGAAGGCCAGGCUGAAGACUUUGCCGGAUUAGCUGAGAGGUGGUGCAUGGCCGUCGUCAGUUCGUACUGUGAAGCAUCCUGUUAAGUCAGGCAACGAGCGAGACCCACGCCCACAGUUGCCAGCGUACUCUCCGGAGUGACGGGUACACUGUGGGGACCGCCGCUGCUAAAGCGGAGGAAGGAAUGGGCAACGGUAGGUCAGUAUGCCCCGAAUAUCCCGGGCUACACGCGAGCUACAAUGGUUGGUACAAUGGGUAUCUACCCCGAAAGGGGAUGGAAAUCUCCUAAAGCCAAUCUUAGUUCGGAUUGAGGGCUGCAACUCGCCCUCAUGAAGCUGGAAUCCGUAGU